CUACGGGUGGCUGCAGUGAGGAAUAUUGCACAAUGGGGGAAACCCUGAUGCAGCAACGCCGCGUGGAGGAUGACGCAUUUCGGUGUGUAAACUCCUUUUAUAUGUCAAGAAAAUGACGGUAGCAUAUGAAUAAGCACCGGCUAACUCCGUGCCAGCAGCCGCGGUAAUACGGAGGGUGCAAGCGUUAUUCGGAAUCACUGGGCGUAAAGGACGCGUAGGCGGGUUAUCAAGUCAGGUGUGAAAUCCUACAGCUUAACUGUAGAACUGCACUUGAAACUGGUAGCCUGGAGGAUGGGAGGGGCAGAUGGAAUUAGUGGUGUAGGGGUAAAAUCCGUAGAUAUCACUAGGAAUACCGAAAGCGAAGGCGAUCUGCUGGAACAUUACUGACGCUAAGGCGUGAAAGCGUGGGGAGCAAACAGGAUUAGAUACCCCGGUAGUC
rnacentral:rRNA from 1 species